rnacentral:lncRNA from 1 species
CCUAGCCUUCUUAUCUCAACCUUUCUUUUCUCCUUACCUUUCCUGAUUCUCUUCCUAUACCCUUAUCCUAAAAUCAAACUUGUCCUUACUAUUUUAGGACUUAUUCUAAAAAAAAAGGAAGAGAGCUAUUCAAACAAUCUAGGAGACUUUUAUAAGAAAGAAAAGAUAAGAAUUUUUUUCGAUGGAAUGAAUGUCGGUGCAUGUCUCCUUUUAUAGUUGGAGACCGGAUGCUAACCGGGACAACUCGCACCCCGUCCGAGAGUUAUCUCAUGCCCCAUCAAAUUUUCUCAUACCUUUCCACCAUUUCUCAUGCCUUCCAGCAAUAUUGGGAUAAG